rnacentral:rRNA from 1 species
UCUUCUUGAAUAUAAUUUGAUGUAUGGCCUGCCCACUGAGUAUUGAAGGGCCGCGGUAUUUUGACCGUGCAAAGGUAGCAUAAUCAUUAGUCUUUUAAUUGUGGACUGGAAUGAAUGGUUUGACGAGGUGUUAACUGUCUUUAAUUUUUUUAUUGAAUUUAAAUUUUAGGUUAAAAUGCCUAAAUGUUUUUUUGGGACGAGAAGACCCUAUAGAGUUUUAUAUAUUUUUAAUUUUUUUUGUAUGAUAAGUUUUAAUUUAAAAAUUUAUUUUGUUGGGGUGAUGAGAAGAUUAGAUUAACUCUUUUUAUUUUUUUUAUAUUUAUUUAUAUAUAUUUGAUCCAUUUUUAUUGAUUAUAAGACUAAAUUACC